rnacentral:misc_RNA from 1 species
UUAGUGAAGAAUAAAUCAAAGGUUAAAAGUGGAAAGUCACGGGAGACGUUUCUAUUCGAUGCUAUUUCUUCGUUACGAAUACACUUCGAUUUCAACAAAAGACUAGAAAUGUGUUGCACGAUCCUUUCAUUAGAAACGUUAAUAUUUACCUAAACAUAACGAAUGAUAGGGUCGUCAUUUAGAAGUUCAUGACCGUGAAAAUGGUGGUCUACGAUGACAUCGAGAACACCCCUUCAUUGAACAGAAACUACGCGAUGACCUAACAGGGGCGCUUCCAUUGAAAUAGAAGACUGGUGUCUUAAAAAUUUUCAAGGUCUGGGUGGACAAAAAUAUCUCAACAGAGAACUCGCAGCUCCAGAAAGAUAGGAAUGCCGAAUGGCUUGACACUGAUAAAAUUCGUUUUCGAAACAUCUACUACGCUUAAUCAGCUCUCAGCCUCGAUUUAAAUCGUUCAGGCGAAACCAAGGGGUUGCUUUGCAUGCGAAAAUUC